GCCGGAAAAAACGAUCUGCACAUUCGUAAUGCGUAGGUCGCAGGUUCGACUCCUGUUUCCGGCACCA
rnacentral:tRNA from 1 species